GUAACGCGUGGGGAAUCUGCCUUUGAGCGGGGGACAACAUUUGGAAACGAAUGCUAAUACCGCAUAAAAACUUUAAACACAAGUUUUAAGUUUGAAAGAUGCAAUUGCAUCACUCAAAGAUGAUCCCGCGUUGUAUUAGCUAGUUGGUGAGGUAAAGGCUCACCAAGGCGAUGAUACAUAGCCGACCUGAGAGGGUGAUCGGCCACAUUGGGACUGAGACACGGCCCAAACUCCUACGGGAGGCAGCAGUAG
rnacentral:rRNA from 1 species